GAUGAACGCUGGCGGCGUGCCUAAUACAUGCAAGUCGAGCGAACAGAUAAGGAGCUUGCUCCUUUGACGUUAGCGGCGGACGGGUGAGUAACACGUGGGUAACCUACCUAUAAGACUGGAAUAACUCCGGGAAACCGGGGCUAAUGCCGGAUAACAUUUAGAACCGCAUGGUUCUAAAGUGAAAGAUGGUUUUGCUAUCACUUAUAGAUGGACCCGCGCCGUAUUAGCUAGUUGGUAAGGUAACGGCUUACCAAGGCAACGAUACGUAGCCGACCUGAGAGGGUGAUCGGACACACUGGAACUGAGACACGGUCCAGACCCCUACGGGAGGCAGCAGUAGGGAAUCUUCCGCAAUGGGCGAAAGCCUGACGGAGCAACGCCGCGUGAGUGAUGAAGGUCUUCGGAUCGUAAAACUCUGUUAUUAGGGAAGAACAAAUGUGUAAGUAACUGUGCACGUCUUGACGGUACCUAAUCAGAAAGCCACGGCUAACUACGUG
rnacentral:rRNA from 1 species